UAUUAAAACUCACCCAAUCCUACCCUU
rnacentral:piRNA from 1 species